ensembl:lncRNA
UGGAUGGUGACUGCAGCUGCUCUUCAGGUUAAAUCCAGACAAUGUCCAGGGGAUCCUGGCAGGAAUUGCACUCACCACAGGGAGCAAUACCCACCAUGGAGUCCUCAUUGUGUGCUCUGGUGAUCAUGUGACCUGCCUGGGCUCUGGCUCACUGCUGCUGUCUACCACAUGGCUCAUGGACCGGAAUCCUAGGCAUGAGAAAAGACCACAAUCCAGAAUUCCUCAUAUGCAUUCUUCUGGCUAUGGAUGGUUUUGACACCAUUGUAAGUCAGCAGUCAGAGGCUGAACUUUGGAAGGGGGCCACGACCCUGUGAACUUGCCUGGGUAUUGUCACAAGGGCCCAGUGAGAAGCUGUUAAUGAGACACUUAGGAGCUUUGACUGUUUGUGUUGACUAUUUCUGCUGCAGUCAUUUGGUUUUAACUCUUACAGGGUGACCCCUUCUACAGCAGCCCGCCUUCCCCUGUGCAUCUGCGGCUCUGAUGCCAUUGUCAAGACUGUAUGGCUUUGUUUACCCAUUUGCUGGUUCUUGUCUCAUGACCUUUUUUCUUAAGCUUCUUACUGGUUCUUCAUCAAACCUGUUUUUUUUUUCUCUUAAUAUUUUUCCUUUUAAUAAUCCACAAUCCACACCAUGAGAAGCAUCCUGUCCUGAAAGCAAUCAAAAUUUGAAAGUGUAUUUGUUACCUACUGUAGAAAAUACAGAGUGAACUAUUUUCUGUUAAUGUUGAGGACUAUUCAGUGUUUCUUGGGCGCCUUCUGUGGGCAUGUGGUAUAGGUGAGAAGAGCAGACAUGAUCCACCCCCUUAGAAAUGUUAGUCUCUGGGAGUCCUCCUCGGAGACUCUCCUGUGAGUCCAGCUUUGCGAUCGUUUCUCGUAGACUUCUGUCAUUGCUUCCUGUACAUCCACUCACUAUGUUUUUUUGUAAUUCCAGACUAGAAUUCAUACUAGUGACAGGGACGUCCAGCAGUGUAGCAUUUACAGUACUGUCAGAAAAGCGUGGGAAACUAAAACCCUGGGGGCCAGUGGGAUGCGCACAGGGUAAAGGCGUCUGCUGUCAAAACCAGUGGCCUGAAAUCGAUUCCUUCGAACGCAGAUGGUGGAAGGAGAGAGUUCCCUCCACAAGUUGUCCUCUGACCUCCCUGUUCAGAGCAGUGCCUGUCGAAACCCCAGAUGUUGGCAAGUUGAUCCUGAAAAGCUGUAUGGAAAUGCAGAGAACACAGGAGAGGCAAAACAUUUUUUUUUGAAAGAAGAACAAAGUUGGGGACUCGAGCCUCUUGAUUAGAAAGCUUACUAUAAAGAGAACAUAGCACUACUAGCCAGGUGUGGUGGCUCACCUGUAACCCCCGGAACCUGGAAGUGAGAGCUGGAGGGUAAGGAGGUCAAGGUCAUCCGCCGCCUCCCAUGUGGUGUAGAUCAGCCUAGGAUCGCACGAGACCCUAUGGUACCAAAGUAAGGACGGAGGUACAGGUGAAUAGGGCAGGAUUGGGAACCGAGAGACAAACCUUGAUGUUUAUGGUUGAUGGAUUGUCAGAAACUGAUUACAAACGACACAGAACAACAUGGAACAAACCCACCAGGACACCCGUUCACAAAAGCAUGAAGCGCAACCAUCCAGCUCAUAGCCUCCAUAGCUUUGGUGUGAAAAUGGAGUGUUUAAAGGCUGGAGAAGGAACUGGGGAGUAAGUCUUUAGGAAAGUGAAAAGACAGCCCACAGAACAAGCUAACACAUCUGCACAUCAUGUGUCUGGUAAGGGUCUAGUGUCCAACACAUAUAAAGAACUUUUACAGCUCACAAAUAAAAGGACAGCUCGGACGACAAGAGAAAGUUGUGUGGACAGUUGCCUGAAGACUACACGUAGGAAAGAGUCACAUGAUGUGAUUCUGGUUACUUUUAGUCAUUAGGAAACUGUCCAUAGGGAAGUGGGGCUUACAUGGACUGGUACUGGCCAUUUUCAAAAAAUUUAUACUUUCUAGUAGAUCAUAAAGUUUAUUUUGUUACUUCAAGAGGCAAUUGAGAUGUUUUUCCGAAGGUUAAAGAAAGAAUUACAGGCUGGAGAGAGCAGUCAGUGCUCUUAACCUGUGAGUUAUCUCUCCAGUUCCCCAAGACUCAUUCUAAAGGAGAGGUGGUAUCGAAGCCCGGUGUUCCUGGAAGGCCGGGUGUGUUCUGGGUGACACAUUUCUGUUUGGUUGGCCAAGUUGCUCUGGUAGUGGAAAGAUACUGAUCUUCCCACUGACAUUCAUAAUAGACAUUGCCCUGACAGUUAAUAAAGUGGCA